GCAUGUUAAAGUAUAAGCACUUUUAUACUGUGAAACUGCGAAUGGCUCAUUAAAUCAGUUAUCGUUUAUUUGAUAGUACCUUACUACAUGGAUACCUGUGGUAAUUCUAGAGCUAAUACAUGCUAAAAACCCCGACUUCAGGAAGGGGUGUAUUUAUUAGAUAAAAAACCAACGCCCUUCGGGGCUCCUUGGUGAAUCAUAAUAACUUAACGAAUCGCAUGGCCUUGCGCCGGCGAUGGUUCAUUCAAAUUUCUGCCCUAUCAACUUUCGAUGGUAGGAUAGUGGCCUACCAUGGUGGCAACGGGUAACGGGGAAUUAGGGUUCGAUUCCGGAGAGGGAGCCUGAGAAACGGCUACCACAUCCAAGGAAGGCAGCAGGCGCGCAAAUUACCCAAUCCCGAUACGGGGAGGUAGUGACAAUAAAUACUGAUACGGGGCUCUUUUGGGUCUCGUAAUUGGACAAGAGAAACAAAUUAAUACCC
rnacentral:rRNA from 1 species